CAGCCGCCGCGGUAAAACGAAGGGGGCUAGCGUUGUUCGGAAUUACUGGGCGUAAAGCGCACGUAGGCGGAUAUUUAAGUCAGGGGUGAAAUCCCAGAGCUCAACUCUGGAACUGCCUUUGAUACUGGGUAUCUUGAGUAUGGAAGAGGUAAGUGGAAUUCCGAGUGUAGAGGUGAAAUUCGUAGAUAUUCGGAGGAACACCAGUGGCGAAGGCGGCUUACUGGUCCAUUACUGACGCUGAGGUGCGAAAGCGUGGGGAGCAAACAGGAUUAGAUACCCGAGUAGUCCCUGUCUCUUAUAC
rnacentral:rRNA from 1 species